rnacentral:rRNA from 1 species
AUGACGUCAAGUCAUCAUGGCCCUUACGGCCUGGGCUACACACGUGCUACAAUGGUCGGUACAAAGGGUUGCCAAGCCGCGAGGUGGAGCUAAUCCCAUAAAACCGAUCGUAGUCCGGAUCGCAGUCUGCAACUCGACUGCGUGAAGUCGGAAUCGCUAGUAAUCGUGAAUCAGAAUGUCACGGUGAAUACGUUCCCGGGCCGUU